rnacentral:lncRNA from 1 species
UUCUGAUCAGUGAUUGCUGCUAUGCCCUCUUCCCGCCGCUCUCCGGGGAUUAAGUAACUUGCUUGUCAGAGCUUCUCUCACUGUUCCUGAGCGCCAGCUUCUCCCUCUAUCCCCAGCUACAUGGGAAGUCGUCUCUCCGCGCGGAGGAGGGGUCCUUCUCCCUCUCUCUGCGUUUCCCUCCUCUCUGACUUCCUUCCCCCUGCCAGCGGUCUUCUGCCUUCUCUCCCGCGUCUGGCUUUUCUUCGCCUCCACUCGCUCCCUCUCUCCGGAAUCCGGGAGCAGUGUGGCUGCGGCGGCAGGCGAUGUAUUUUUCAGUGGUCCUGAAUAUCUAUGAAUGGCCUCCUGUCCUGGUUACACGUAAAAGGGUGCCAGUAUGUGUGUGACCAGACUGUGUAUUCUACUCCCAUCUACAUAAUUUCUGAUGAACUGUUAAUGAUGGGUCGUUCACAGUAGCUGUGCAGUGCACACCUGAUUCCUCAGGCUGCAAGAUGGAUCUUAGAUGAGAAGAGGCAAACCCUGGGAGGAGGGAUAGCGUUUCUUUGUCUUCACCAUGACUCAGCCAUGAUAACUCCCUCCAGGGAAACAGCAGCACCACCCAUCCUGAGGGGAUCACUCUGCUAAUGGGCCAUAAUGAACUGAGUAGACACCGGAAGAAUAAGCAGCUGGAGCUAGCAUCAGGGGCUCCAAAAAUACCCUAUGGCUCAUAGGACCACAUUGUUCCAUUGUGAACUCCCCCGCCCAGGGGGAGAUACCACCUGAGAUCCACUGCAUAUAAUCUUGAGGUCUAGGGUUUUGGGAAACCACCACCACUCAGUGGAGCCAGAGAGCACCCGGCCUUCCACAGGAAGACCAAACCUUCCACAGGACCGCUGCUUUCAACAAGACUGCAACCUUCUCAUCAACAACACUGCAAGCACCACUUAACUGGACUGCAGCCACCACCCACAGGGUGCCAGAUGGUACUCUGUGGGUUUAAGCCAGUUUUUAUAUAUCUUUGCAUUUAUUAUAAUCUUUCUAUUAAAUUGUAACUCCGACCUGAAAUUUGUCUCAACGUGUUUGUGUGGGAUUCAUUUUUCCAGCUGGUUUACUUUCGAACUGGCACACCUGCUUAAAAGUAGUAUAAUAUUGGGAGCUUUCUUUCACUUUGUGUGAUAGGAAAGUUUAUUUCUGUGAGGAGGAGAAAUGGGAGAAUUAAAAGCAAAUCCAUUAUCUUAGCUGAAAUAAUGGAGGAUAAAUGAUGUCUCCUUUCUUAAAAAAAAAAUCAGUGGACUGAAUGCCACUCUUAACCUGAAUUUCAGGUAUUUUCUCCCUAGGCAAUCAUGUAUGGCCAUCAGUGAAGACAGAAUGGAUAUGCUGGAAAAACCUUUUGUCCAAUUUGUUGUGGCAGAUCUUUUGUUCUCUGUGCCUGGGAGUUGUGAGAUUUUCUGUG